GAUGAAGAACGCAGCGAAAUGCGAUACGUAAUGUGAAUUGCAGAAUUCAGUGAAUCAUCGAAUCUUUGAACGCAUAUUGCGCUCUCUGGUAUUCCGGAGAGCAUGCUUGUUUGAGUAUCAGUAAACACCUCAACUCCCUUUUCUUUUUUGAAAUUGGAGCUGGACUUGAGUGAUCCCAACGCUUUCUUCCAAGAAAGUGGCGGGUUGCUUGAAAUGCAGGUGCAGCUGAACUUUUCUCUGAGCUAUAAGCAUAUCUAUUUAGUCUGCCUAAAAAACAGAUUAUUACCUUUGCUGCAGCUAACAUACAGGAGACUAGUUCUUGUGCUGACUGAUGCAGGAUUCACAGAGACAGCUUCGGCUGACUUUGUAAACUCGAUCUCAAAUCAAGUAAGACUACCCGCUGAACUUAAGCAUAUCAAUAAGCGGAGGA
rnacentral:misc_RNA from 1 species